GUGGCUGUGGCUCAGUGGCAGAGCACUUGCCUCACGCAUGCAAGGCACUGGGUUCGAUCCUCAGAACCACA
rnacentral:tRNA from 1 species